UCCGGGUUGGACCCGGCGGUCCCGCCAGACAUGGUAACUGGCAGCGAGGGUUGCGCUCGUUGCGGGACUUAACCCAACACCUCACGGCACGAGCUGACGACAGCCAUGCAGCAUCUGUGAAGGUGCCCCGAAGGGAGACCGUGUUUCCACGGCUGUCACCUACAUGUCAAGCCCAGGUAAGGUUCUUCGCGUUGCAUCGAAUUAAUCCGCAUGCUCCGCCGCUUGUGCGGCCCCCCGUCAAUUCCUUUGAGUUUUAGCCUUGCGGCCGUACUCCCCAGGCGGGGCGCUUAAUGCGUUAGCUGCGGCACAGAGAACCGGAGAGGCCCCCCACACCUAGCGCCCAUCGUUUACGGCGUGGACUAC
rnacentral:misc_RNA from 1 species